UUUGAGCAUAGCGAGAACGUACGCCGUGCUGUCCAGUGAUAAAAGCUGUUGAGCACAGCAGAGCUCCCAGAGUACUGUGGUGGACAACGUUUCUUUGUUCUCUGGCUUUCAAGUUUAAGGGGUGCUUGGACUAUCUUGCAUCGGUGGAUAUGAAAAUAGUGGUAACCUACCCUACGAAACAGCUGUUUGCACAUAAGCUUAACAGUUCCCUGUGAGAUGCUGUGAAAGUCAGCAGGGAAGUGCGAUGUAGAAGAAACGACUGCCAGAAGCUUGCUAAGGAACCGCACAACCUGUGUGGGCAGCAGACAAAAUAUUCAUCAAACGAAGUUUUGCACCAAAGUUAUGAGAGCAGCACAGAUGUUGUUUUAGCGUAAUGGAGUGAUGGAAGUGCUGCGCCAAUCAUGGAGUGCUUAGCAGUCGCCUGCUCGACCAGCCACAGUGAGUCAUUGGAGGCAGUGCUGCAGCACCAACAAUCACUCGUUGGAAGAAAGGAAUGAGGUGGCCAUCAACACCCUGCUGCCA